rnacentral:rRNA from 1 species
AACGAACGCUGGCGGCAUGCCUAACACAUGCAAGUCGAACGAGACCGUCGGGUCUAGUGGCGCACGGGUGCGUAACGCGUGGGAACCUGCCCUUAGGUUCGGAAUAACUCCCCGAAAGGGGUGCUAAUACCGGAUAAUGUCUUCGGACCAAAGAUUUAUCGCCUUUGGAUGGGGCCGCGUUGGAUUAGCUAGUUGGUAGGGUAAAAGCCUACCAAGGCGACGAUCCAUAGCUGGUCUGAGAGGAUGAUCAGCCACACUGGGACUGAGACACGGCCCAGACUCCUACGGGAGGCAGCAGUGGGGAAUAUUGUACGAUGGGCGAAAGCCUGAUCCAGCAAUGCCGCGUGAGUGAUGAAGGCCUUAGGGUUGUAAAGCUCUUUUACCCGGGAUGAUAAUGACAGUACCGGGAGAAUAAGCUCCGGCUAACUCCGUG